rnacentral:misc_RNA from 1 species
UAACAAACAAUAAAGGUGUAACAACUACCGCCACCAUGAUCAAUCAAUUAAUGAUCAAAUAUGCUCAUGUACUUUCAUGUAGCGACAAACAUACAAUUAGAGAUUGAGAGAUUACUUGGUGGCUAGUCUUCCCAUUUUGGGAAUCAUAUAUUCUGCUUCCAAUGACAUGAACUACUUGGCAAUUAGAGCGACCUUUCUUCUCCUCUUGUGUAACAACUUCAUUUUUCAUAUCAGAAACUACAGAAGUAACAAUUAUAACUGCUGCAACUGCUUUUUGG